GAUGAAGAACGCAGCGAAAUGCGAUAAGUAAUGUGAAUUGCAGAAUUCAGUGAAUCAUCGAAUCUUUGAACGCACAUUGCGCCCCCUGGUAUUCCGGGGGGCAUGCCUGUCCGAGCGUCAUUACAACCCUCAAGCUCAGCUUGGUGUUGGGCCCCGCCGCCCCGGCGGGCCCUAAAGUCAGUGGCGGUGCCGUCCGGCUCCGAGCGUAGUAAUUCUUCUCGCUCUGGAGGUCCGGUCGUGUGCUCGCCAGCAACCCCCAAUUUUUUUCAGGUUGACCUCGGAUCAGGUAGGGAUACCCGCUGAACUUAAGCAUAUGAAUAAGCGGAGGA
rnacentral:misc_RNA from 1 species